UAAAAUCCGGCGCUUUUUUGGGAUAAAGCCAAAAUUGGGAAGAUUAUGAGAGCAUGUAUCAUACUUCAUAAUAUGAUAGUAGAAGACGAACGAGAUAGAUAUACUCAAUUUGAUGUUUCAGAGUUCCAACAAGGAGAAGACAUCGGAAGUUCACAUGUCGAUCUCGAUUUUUCUACAUAUAUGCCUACAAAUAUCGCCAAUAUGAUUGGUGUUCGAACUAGAAUUCGAGAUAGACAAAUGCAUCAACAACUCAAAGCUGAUUUGGUUGAAUUGAUUUGGGUUUAUCACACUAGAAGUAGUUGCUGAACUUUCUGGAUGUGACUUAGCUCUUUGAUCUUGAAUUUGACUUAUGGGUCAGUGCUUAAAUCUGAGGUUUAGGUCUUAAAAAGGUUUAAGACUUUACAGAUCGGAGGAUUCGCCGGAGAAUGCAGCUUUACUUAUAGCAAGGAAGAGAAGAUUCAUCUGCCUUGAGUUAUUGUAGCUGAACCAGAAUGUUUUGGGACCUAGCUGAUAAGGAGGAGAACACAACCUUGCCAUCAUUCGAAUUCUGCAACUGCUACAAAGUCGCAAACCUCACAGAAACCAUUCUAAACCCGAUAAGAGAUCUAAUGGAGAUACCAAACGACGACUCAGUGUUUUAAGAGGAUAAUAUCAUCAGUGGCGAUUGCAGUUGCAUGGACUGCUAUAGUUACGGGCCGUCUUUCAAAAAGAAGGUGAAAAAUAGUAUGAUGAAGGCAGAGCAUCCAUGGUUCUUUUGUUGUCUUGUUUUCUUGUAUCACGAACCUAGAGUUUGUCUUGUUUUCUUGUAUCACGUACAUUGGUCACGUUGUUUUCUUGUAUCAAGUACAUGAUUGUCUUUUCUUGUAUUGCUGUGGUCACGUGUAAAAUGAAAGUGUAUCACGGAAAUGAAAAUGUAUUCACUAGCCUUUGUACAAAUAAUAGCUUGUCAUGAAAGUGUAUUCACAAGCCUUUAUUCUUUCUUCUCAUGUUCUUCCUUCCUUUCUCAUGUUUUUCCGAAAAGAUGUCGAGCGUGCUUUUGGAGUCUUGCAAGCUCGUUUUGCCAUGGUUUUUUUUUGUGAAAUUAUGUUUUUUUAAAUCAUUGUUUAAAAUGCUAUUUUUUACAAUGUUUUAUUUAAUAAAUAAAUUUUAUUUUUAAUUAAACAAUGUUUAAUUUUUUUUAAGAACCCCUAAAUAAGAGACUCUCAUUGAAAUACAAAAAUGUUGGUGUCUCUUAACUAUGUCUCUUAAGUAACAUUUAAUAUUUAAAAAUUAUUAAAAGAUGCCGAACAUGUUUAACGUAAUAUAAGAUACAGUCUCUUAGCUUUUCACUAAAAAAAGCUAAGAGACAGUCUCUUGAAUAAGCGAUUGUAAUAAUAUCAUAGAAGCCACACAAAGAAGUUGGGAGAACAAGACAAUCGGAAGCAACGUACUUACCUGUGGAUUUAGUCUCGGAUAUACUCUUACGUCUGCCUGCCAAAUCUGCUGCUAAGUUUCGCUGCGUUUCCAAGGUCUGGUCCUCAAUCACGACUCAACCAUCUUUCAUUACCUCGUUCACAGCUCGGUCAAUUCCCCAUCUUCUCAUCUUGUCAGAGAAAAAAGGCAAGCUGUUUGGUUUCUCCAUACCACAAAACCAGAAUUUGGAUAGCAAACCUCAACAGCAGGCGGAGAUUUAUGCGAUGACAUAUCCAGAAAAUCGUAGCUUGUUUUGAAACGUGUCCGUCCACGGCAUGGUCUGCUCUAAAAUAUCACGGAUGCUCACAAUUUGGAAUCCGACCAUGAGACGCACCGUAACGUUGCGUCAUCCCAAAAGAGAAUGGAGUUACACGACCAGAUUUUUAGGAUUCGACCCACUUGAUGGUACGUACAAAGUGCUGUCUAUGCCUUGUUAUCAUCGUUCUGAAGGCGAGAAUCGGCCUCUAGUCCUUACAUUGAAUGGAGAUAAUCAGGAGUCAUGGAGACUCCUCCAAGAGAUCACUGAACAUAUACCUUGCUCGUCUGGACAAUGCAUUAACGGGGUUAUGUAUUACUUUGCCUCUCUUAAACUUGACUUGACUGAUUAUAUCCUGGUGAGCUUCCAUGUCAGAUCUGAAAAGAUGAGUAUGAUCAAAGCACCAUGGAAGUUAGCUUGUGUUCGUAAGAUUUUCCUCGUAGUUUACCACGGGAAGUUAGCUUGUGUUUCUUCAAAAGCUAGUGGUGUUACAAAAUUUGAUGAUAUUAAAAUAUGGAUUUUGGAGGACGCGGAGAAACACGAGUGGUCGUAUAAAAAUAUUCAUCUACCUUUUCUUUGCUAUGAUCCAAUUUCGCAUGCCUGUUUAGAUCUAAAAGGGGUCAAUGAUGCCGGUGAGUUGAUCUAUGUGCCAUUAGAAUUGGUGAAUCCGGUUCGGCUUCUAUAUUAUGAUCCGAACAGAAACAGCUACAGAAGAGUCGUAGUUGAAGGACUUGUGGAUGACCAGUUUAGGCGCCCUAAUGGACUUGGAGACGACGAUGUUUUACGUACCUUAGCUGUUUAUUCCAAUCACAUAAAGACUCUAAUGUCUUUGUAAGACUUAAAACUUUUAUUUUUCCACACUAUAGUUUAUGCAAUUCCUCAAUAUGCUACUUUCAAAUCCAAAUUAUAUUACAUAGAUAAAUCCAUCUUAGAUUUUGUUUCGAUUUUUUUGCAUGAACACCUAUCUCUACAUAUGCAUCAAACGAUUUAGAGGCUGGAAAUUUGGUUCAAAAACCGCGGAUAACCCAUCAUUUGACCUGCUGGGGAUUGAAUGUUUAAGAUGUUGGAUGGAUGCGGAUCGACCCGAUAUUUGUCAAUCCGCCGUUUUUGUAAAACAAAAUAGAAAUUAAGAAAAAAUUCUUAUUUAUCUAAAUUUUUAUUUUAAAUAUUUUAUAGUAUAUAAAUAUAUUAAUUAAAAUUAUUUUAUAAAAUUUGUUUUCAUUUUUAUAAUAUACAAUAUAUAUAUUAUUACAAUAAAUUAAAAUAUAUAAAAGUUAUUUUUAUUUAAAUUAUUACAAUUCAUGGAUAACCCGUGGAUACAAACUUAAACAAGUUAGAUGAAGAUCUACUAAAUUUUAUAUGUGGUUUAUGCGGGUCAAAUGUUUUUUAACUGCCAAUUCCCGUGGAGGGGAUCAAGCGGGGCGAAUUUGACCCGUUUCCCAACAUUACUUAGAAUUCAAUGUAAUAAAAAAUAAUCCUUAUCAUAUGAAAACUAGGUAUGGAUGUUUGAAUAUUCAUUUCAGAUUUUUGAGUUCAACCUUCUAGUAUUCAUAAAGUUUUAUAUAUUUAUGUUUGGAUCAAUCAGUUUAUAAUAUUUCAUGUUCGAAUAUAGUUUAUAUUUUAUUUCAAGACCCAUUUUAGUUUAGAGUUAAAGUUAUUUUGUAUCAUUUAUUAAAUUUUUGGGUUCUGUUAUAUAUAUUAACGUGGAUGUCCAUCAUAGGUCCAUAAGUCCAUGUUCUAAAAGGUUUUAAAUCCUAACUUUGUAUUCCUAAAUAUAGUUAUUGUUGUCUACAGACUAAUAAUAAGAACAACCGUUUCUCUCUUUCUCUUGAUUCACAACACGUUAUCAGCACGAAACCCUAACUCUGAGCAGAACCUAAAUACAUGAAACCCUAGCCGUUUAGGCAAAAACCCUAGACGUACUCGUCGUAACCUAUCGUCUAAUUUUAUUAUCUCUGACCACAUGAAAUCAACGUAAUUGUGACGACGAGUAACUCAAGAUUUUCUAUUCCCAUUCUACAUUGACCGUCUCCAAUCUAUCUCAUUAUUACUGAUCGAGCUAGGUAUUUUUUUCGUAUUGUUGACCAAAUCUAUUCAUGGAUUUUAUUUUUGCUAUUACGACGUUCAUCUAAUGGCUUAUGAUUAUGAUCCAAUGCUUAUUAUUUUAUGUUAUAAUUGUCUAGAAAUGCAGUUAUGUUCUCUUUUAUGUAGCUAUAUAGAUCUGUGCUUCCAACAAAUCCGGUCUCCGUUCCAGUUAUUCUUGAUUUCACUUUUAGCCGACUAAAUUUUCUUUCAAUAGAUCUAUGUCUCCUAACACCUUCGAGAUAAGUAACUAUAUCUCUUGUUUAUUUGCUAUGGGUAACUGUGAUGAUGUUUGUAUUAUACUUACUAUCAUGUCAUAGAUUAUAUCCCACUCCGCUUGUUAAAAUCAAUCGACAUGUAUGUAUAUAUUUAAUUUGUUUGAUUUGAUUUGUUUGUAAGACCACAUGUUCAUAAGUUGCAAUAUAAUAGUUUAGAGAAUAUCAACCAAUAUUCAUUGGUUUGCUAUUUGUUGAUUUGAUCAAAGUUUAUUGUUCUUAUAUCGCUUGUUGUUAUAACAUGAAAGUUGGAAAACGAUUUAUUAUCAUGUGGAACAUAACAGAUAACUAAAAUUGAUAAGGGUGAUCAGCUUAGUGAAUAGGUCAUAUACUUCCUAAGAGCAUGAUUAACUGUAAAACCGUUUAUGCUGUUCUUAAAAUUUUAUUUUAUUUUUAUUUUUUUUGUCAUAAAAAAAUGAACCAAUCGCGGGCCGCUACGUGGGGUCCGCAAACAGCGGCCCGCAAACAGUGCAAAAACUCUUCCAAAAUCGAUCCUUAUUUCGUGACUUUGGGGACCGGUUUUUAAAAUUUAAGUGGGGCCCACACAUUAAUUUUCUGAAGAAACCACUUUAAGGACCCGCGAUAUUCAUGGUCUAAUUGUUUAUUGUUUGAUUUGAUGUUGGUUGCUUUUCUCGGUUAAUUAAGCAUCUUGGAUUAUUUUAAAUUCAUGACAUGAUUAAUUUUAUAUUAUUGUUAUUGAUUCGUUUAUAUAACGCUUUGAUUUUAUACGGUCAUGAUUUAUAUUCUGAAUUUUUUUAUUAUUAUAUAUAUUUCUAAUAAAAUUUGAUUUCUUGUAGAAAUAUUGAUGUGUACUAACAUAAUAGCCAUAUUUAUAUGAGCAAGUUUAUAAUAUUUCAGGAUUAUCUACUUAUUAUGAAGGAGAUGAUAUAAUAUGAGAUUAUAAACAGCUGAAAAAAAUAUGAAUGGUUGGAUCUCCGAUCUCUAUUGCCCUUCUCGUUAUUAAGAUAAGUAAAUUUUUAUUUGUCAUACUUUAAAUACAAGGUUAAUAAAAAUCUGAUAAGGUAAAACACUUUAUAUGAAAGUUAAUACAUGUAGUUUUAGUAAACCGAUUGAUUGAAUCAAAACUUUGUUAAAUAGCAUGAAAAUAGGAAACUACUACAUAUAAUGAUUGCUAUAUGAGUAUUAUUUACUUCAUAAUAUAAUACAAUGUUUAUGAGAAUAUAUAUCUCUAAUUUGGAAUACUUUAUUAUUAUAUUUCAUUACCAUUAUAUAUAUUUGAGAGUUUUAAGCUUAAAAUCUUGAUCUUAAAAGAUCCAUAAGUUUUGGAGAAUAAUCCAAAGAAAAGUAUGAUCACCUGAAUGUGAUUAUCUAAAGCUCAUUAUUUAUUUUUCAUCUAAAGAUUACCAGACUUUGAGUCUAUAAAUACAUCUCAACUAUAUUGGAUGUUAAGCUUAAAAGUAAUAUUUUUAGAAGAAAAUUUUAAUGAUGCAUAUUAGAAAAUAUUACAAGACCUGGAGUCUGUAAAUAUAGCUAAGUUUAUAACUAUAUUUUUUCUCCUUGAGACUGAGAAAAAUAAUGAGCUAUUGAUGUAAGAUGAUAAAUCAUGUCUAGUUGAUCAUUCUCUUGAACAAAAUAUGACAUUUUAUAUUGAGAAAGAAAAUCAACAUUUUGUCAAGAAAGUGGACAUAAAGUGGAUGUAGACAUGAAUGUGGAUAUAAAUAAGGUCAAGAUCCAAAGAGUUUCUUUUUAGAACUCAUACUCUCACUUGAAUUUGAGAUAAUAAAGAUGGUAAUAAAGAAGAGAUAUAAUUCAAUCAUCUAAAGAUGAAAAGAAAAAAAAAUUAUUGUGAGUACUUUACAAGCUAGUAAAACCUUAUAGAAUGAUAUAUAUGAAUGCUUAAGAAGAAUACAUAAUAUUUGUACAUAAGAAUGCAAUUUAAAGUCUUUAUUGCAUUAUAUUCUAAGUCUCAAAAUUUAGAAAGAUAUGAGAAAGAAUACAUGACCCAUAUAGGGUAUGUUGUUGAUUCAAAAAUGAGAAUCAUUCGAGAUUGAUAAACUUUUAUUAGUAUCAUCUCGAGGGGAAGCGUUAAAGAAUCUCACAUUUUAUAUAAUAAGUAAAACUUCUAGAAGAUUAUGUUUCCACUCAAAUUGAGAUUGAUGAAUAUUCUUAAGGUAACCAAUAGCAUUAUCAACUUCAGGUGGAGAUUUAGAGAAUCCCACAUCUCUGGUAAGUGAAACAUCCAGAAGUAUGUUCACACUGGAAAUAGACUUGAGGAGUCAUUUAUAAAAUAACUAGAGGAUUUAGAAUCUAAUAAUGAUGAGACAAUAAGUAAAGGGAAAUAUUGAAUACCAUCAAUCAGAAGUAUCACCAAGGCACUAUUGUAUUGUACUACACAAUGAUUAGAAAAUGGAGAUAAAUGUAGUAGUAAACCAGAAGUUUACUAGAAGUGUAAUGUUUGGCAAACCGAUUAUGCCAUCCCGGUUUAGUAAUGAUGUGAAAGAUAAUCAUAUAAACAUUCGUUGAAAAACCAGAAGAUUCUUACGAAUGAUAUGUUAUAUGUUGCUUGCUUACAAGACAAUGUAAGAAUACGACUUUCACCAGUCAAAUAGAUGUGGAUUCUAUUUAUACAAGGAGCUGUUUGUGGGCUUGAUCACCCACUGGUGGACUGAUCAUCCACCAUAUGCAUCGACAAGAAGGUCUAAUGUAUCCUUGUCAUAGAUCCGCGACCUGAUGUUUGCGAGACUAACUGGUAAUACUGGUGAAAUCACAAGCAAUUGAUGAUUAUUUUAUGCAUGUGUGGAUACAUGAUGAACAUCUUGUAGCUAAUGUUCAUAUUUAAGAUGCAGCAGCAUUGAUUCACAUAAUGCCAAAGAGUAAUUAAGAACUCUCCCAUUAAAUUGGUUUUGGGUCAAGAACCAAAGAUCCCAUCUUGGAAAUUUGGAUAAGUUGUACUUGCUCCCCCACACCGCUAAAAGAUGGGACCUCAAAGGAGGUUAUGAAUAUGUUGGAUAUGAUCUCCAUUGAUGAUAAAAUCUAAACUAUUUUAUAAAAUUUAUUUAAAGACUCGAAAGUUAGUCUAUCCAACAUUAAGGGGAGAAAAUAAACUGCUGGAGAAUGAAUGAGUUGAAUGAAUUAUCAUUGAUCCUCAGACUAAAGAGCGUAAAUAGAAAUCCAAAAAGAAUGUAUGGAGAUAAUUCUAUUACAAAGAUUAGCAUAUGAAUUGCCAGACUCAUUUACUGACCAUAAGAAAGUGAUUAAGUCACAAGUACCAGCUGUAGAUGCUCCUAGUUAAAAUGGAUGUCCCAGAAGGACAAUAUCAAACUGCUAAUGUGUUUAAAGAGUGCCUGAAGGGUGAAAGACCUAUCUUUCCAAAUAUAAUAAUCCUCAGAAGAGAAAAGGAGCAUGAAUGAGAAUGGCCGAAUCGAGGAAUGAAAUAUUAAGGAUCUCGAGAAGAGAUAGGAAACAUGACAAAAAAGAAAUUCAGGUACCUGAGAAUAAAGAAAUCUCAAAUAGCUAUGUAAUGUCUGGAACAAUAUGGAACUGAUAUCAAAUCGCGUCGUGAAUAUUUAUGCAUGCAAUGUAGCAGUUGAUGAGAAUGAGAAUCAUGAACCAUCUAUUGAAAAGUGUACACAAUAUGAUAAAUAACCGAAAAGGGAAAGUAACAAUAGAUGUAGGGUUAUAAUCUCUUCGAAGGAGAAGAGUAUUUGGACAAGUAGUCUAUACACCUGAAGGUGUAAAACCAGUGGCUCAUAAAUAGGUCUUUAUAUGAAAAAUAGAUGC